GGAGAGGAGUCCUGAUGGGGAAGCAACAACAACACUGCUGUGAAGAGCUGGUGUGAGAAAACCAGCUAGAGAAGGAUGUGAGGAAGGCAAGGUGUUAUACUGACAGCUCCUACUUGUUAAAAUGCAUCUAGGAUACUUCCAGAGGAAAAAAAAAAUGGGAGGAGGGCACAGUAACAGCUUCUCCAUGCUCCCCCACUCCCUGACCCCAGGGCUGGGAAAAAAAGACUUUCUACUACCUUGGGAGCCAUUUCAGCAACAACAAAACCAGAAAGCAGCAGGCACGAGGCAAGAGGGAGAGUUAACCCCAGCACACAGGGGCCUGUGCCAGAGACCAGGAGGAGGAGCAGGAGAUGGUGGUGGUGGUUUCAGCUGCACACUCACACCACCUGGGCAUGGACACCAGGGCAGCAAAGCCAGAGGACAUCAAAGCUCAAUCCAAGCCAGUGGCCCCUGUGGCUUCCCCACACAAUGGGAAGGAGCUGCACUGCUGGGACAUCAGCUUUGUGGAGAGCAGCACAAACAUGCAGCACCCCCUCAUCUCCAACAUUAUUGCCCUGGAUACUAGGCUUGGGGAGUGCCAACAAUCAUUAGGCAUGCAGGAUUGUCACAAGCCAGCGCCAAAAGGUGGGAGCAGCAAGCUGGAAGUUGUGUUGGUUUGUUUUGAAAAGGCCAGGGAAAGCUGGGCACUCUGUCUCUGCAGGUUUAAGGCUGCACUCUGAACCUGCUGGGGGCGAAAGGCUAACAGGAUCUGAAAACCUGCUUUCUUUACCUCCAAGGACUGGAUCUUGGUGCCCUGAAGCACACUGGAAAAGAGUAGGGCAUAUUGUCCCUGCUCUGAAUCAGGUCGAGGUUCCCAAUACUCAACCAGCAAUCAGAAAGGGAAAAGCCAUGAAAUCUGUUUGUCAAGCCUUUAGCUGUGUCCUCUGCAGCAUUUCUGACCUAAAACACAUUCAGUUAUCUGAGGCAGAACUCAGAAGAGGCAUCUCAUACUCUCCUUUCGGUGAAACAGUUGGAUCCACAAAGCUCCGUGCAAGGCUCACCCUUGUAAAUGGGGAGGAACAGAGAGAUUUCAAAUGAAGAGUCAUUUUACUUUGUAAAUGGCCUUGUCCUUAUUUCUUUUUCAGGGUGACUUUCAAGUUAAGUUUUUUCCCACUGUUCUGUGAUCAAAAUAUGAGGGGAAAAAAAUAAUCUGCUCAUCACAAA